rnacentral:rRNA from 1 species
UUAUUACCGACGCAAACUUUGCUAUGAGGCAGCUGCUUGGGUACUACGAGCGUGUGCUUAAAACUCAAAGAACUUGGCGGCUCGUUAACUACCUAGGGGAAUAUGCGCCUUAAUCCGAUGAUCCGCGUAGCAUCUUACUGUACCUUGAAAAAGAACAGCUGGUGUAUUGCCGUCGUCAGCCUGUUGUUCGAGCAAGGAGAAACAGGCCCAAGGGAACUGGCGAUUUGUCGACAGGAUCCAUAAAGUCAGGUCGAAAUACUGCCUAUGGUACGAGGGAGUGGGUAUUACAAUUCAAAAUUCGAAAUACGGAGCUUGGAAGAACUGUGAAAUCUCCAGGUGAAGGUGGACUUAGGAGUAAGGGGAGAUUAAUAUGCUUCCCUGAACGUGAAUCUAACUUGUGUACAAACCGCCC